GGGGUGGUGGUGUAGAGAAGGCGACGCUCAAGCGUAAUGAAGUUGUUGUGGUUAAAAGCUCGUAGUUGAACCUUGGGCCUGGCUGGCCGGUCCGCCUCACCGCGUGUACUGGUCCGGCCGGGCCUUUCCCUCUGUGGAACCCCAUGCCCUUCACUGGGUGUGGCGGGGAAACAGGACUUUUACUGUGAAAAAAUUAGAGUGCUCCAGGCAGGCCUAUGCUCGAAUACAUUAGCAUGGAAUAAUAGAAUAGGACGUGUGGUUCUAUUUUGUUGGUUUCUAGGACCGCCGUAAUGAUUAAUAGGGACAGUCGGGGGCAUCAGUAUUCAAUUGUCAGAGGUGAAAUUCUUGGAUUUAUUGAAGACUAACUACUGCGAAAGCAUUUGCCAAGGAUGUUUUCAUUAAUCAGGAACGAAAGUUAGGGGAUCGAAGACGAUCAGAUACCGUCGUAGUCUUAACCAUAAACUAUGCCGACUAGGGAUCGGACGGUGUUAUAUUUUGACCCGUUCGGCACCUUACGAGAAAUCAAAGUGCUUGGGCUCCAGGGGGAGUAUGGUCGCAAGGCUGAAACUUAAAGAAAUUGACGGAAGGGCACCACCAGGGGUGGAGCCUGCGGCUUAAUUUGACUCAACACGGGGAAACUCACCAGGUCCAGACACAAUGAGGAUUGACAGAUUGAGAGCUCUUUCUUGAUUUUGUGGGUGGUGGUGCAUGGCCGUUCUUAGUUGGUGGAGUGAUUUGUCUGCUUAAUUGCGAUAACGAACGAGACCUUAACCUGCUAAAUAGCCCGUAUUGCUUUGGCAGUACGCUGGCUUCUUAGAGGGACUAUCGGCUCAGCCGAUGGAAGUUUGAGGCAAUAACAGGUCAGUAAUGCGCCCCUACAGGA
rnacentral:rRNA from 1 species